GGAUUUUUGCGUUGUCUCGGGUUAAGAGUAGAAAGUAGUACCCUUUAUGGAUAUUGUUGAGAACAGAGUAAUUUAAUAUAUACUCUCAUUUGAUCUUUUCUCUUUUUUUGGCAAAGAAGGUGAAGAGGAUUCAUGUGGUUGAAAUCUUUGUUCCUCCUUUGUUCAUUAUGAUUUUAAUGUGUCUUUCCAAGUUCACAUCUAUGGCAUUUGUUGUCAUAUUAAUUCUGUCCUUGAAAAAUCGAAUCAAUGGUAGACACGAGUGAAAGUGAUGUUACUCCAAUUACAAUAGAUCAUUACAAUAGUUAUGAAAAAUUUUGUGUCCCUAGGCAUUACACAUUUGUGAUAUGUUUAUUAUCCAUCAGAUUCCUGUUAAUGUUGAGAAAUUGUGAUAUUUUGUUGUGGCUCAAAAGAGGAAAUCCAUUGUUUUCUUUUAUUAUCCAUUGAUUUUUUUUUUUCUUAAGAUUUAAAACAUUUGAUUAUGUGCUUGUGUUCAAGCUCAAGUGCUUGAUAUUGAGCACGAACUUGACUUGACUAAUGAAGCAAGCUGACCUCAACUUCAAGCUUUUAGAAUCUUUGACAAGCUCAAGUUCAAAAAGUGUUUGUAGGCUUGGAUCAAGUUCAAGUGGAGUUUGAACAUGCUAUCUUUAUUAUCAAACCGAGCUCAACCAUUCUAUAAUUGGCUUGAGUUGAUUACAGCCCUCCUAGUUGAAGUCCUAUGUAUGUUUCUCUUUUUUUCCAAUGUUUUCUCAAGUACCUUUUUUUUUUUCUUUUUUUUUUUUUUUGAUAGGUAAUAGAUAUUUUCAUUAAAAAAAGUACAUUAUUUUCAUGAUAAUGAACAGAUUAUUCUAGGAACAAAUACAAACAAAUCAAAUAGAAACAAAAUGCACAAUCAAGACGUUUUAAAUUUAAAGUUGUGUGCUUUGUGCUUGAAGAUUUGCAUCUUGGAUUAUUAUUUGUUUGGCAUUGUAUUAGGAUGUCCUGCAAUUAAAAAGUAAAAUUGUUUAACUUGGAAUUCUUUAUUUGUUUAUUGUUGAAAGGAAUUAUCGAUGUUGAACUUUUGUAUUGGGUUUGUA